rnacentral:rRNA from 1 species
GGUGGGGGGGGGGGCGCCCCUUUUAAAAAAUACCCCCCCCCUUUUUAUAUUUUUUUUGUUUUUUUAUAGAAAAAGGUGGGGGAAAAGGGUGGUUUUUGGGACACGUUUUUUUGGGGGUUUUUUUAUUUGGGGCGGUUUUUCUUCCCAAAAGGGUAAGGGGGGGACCCGGAAAGGUUUUUUAAUUCCGGGUGGGACUUGGGAGGGUUGGGCAAUGGGAUUAACAAAGUUAAUUGGGAGACAGACCAGUGGACCAGGUUAGAAAGUUAGUUAUAGUGAUCCGGGGUUUUGAAGGAAGGGCCCUUGCUUCACGGAAUAAAGGUACUCCGGGGAAAACCGGGCUGAUACGCCCCAAGAGGUCAUAUUGAAGGCGGUGUUUGCCACUUCGAUGUCGCUUCAUCACUUCCUGGGGGUGAAGUAGGUCCCAAGGGGUAUGGCUUUUUCGCCAUUUAAAAGUGGUACGCGAGCUGGGUUUUAGAACGUCGUGAGACAGUUCGGUCCCUAUCUGCCGUGGGCGUAGGAGAAUUGGUUGGGGCUGCUCCUAGUACGAGAGGACCGGAGUGGACGCACCACUGGUGUUCCGGUUGUGUCGCCAGACGCAUUGCCGGGUAGCUAAGUGCGGAAGAGAUAAGUGCUGAAAGCAUCUAAGCACGAAACUUGCCAAGAGAUGAGUUCUCCCAAUCUAAGAGAUAGUAAGGGUUGUUGUAGACUACGACGUAGAUAGGUCUGGUGUGUAAGUGUAGUGAUACAUUGAGCUAACAGAUACUAAUUGCCCGAGAGGCUUAACU